rnacentral:rRNA from 1 species
GAGUUUGAUUCUGGCUCAGGAUGAACGCUAGCGGGAGGCCUAACACAUGCAAGCCGAGCGGGAUUUGUUGGUUAGCUUGCUAACUAAUAAUGAGAGCGGCGUACGGGUGCGUAACACGUGUGCAACCUGCCUUUAUCUGGGGGAUAGCCUUUCGAAAGGAAGAUUAAUACCCCAUAAUAUAUUGAUUGGCAUCAGUUAAUAUUGAAAGCUCCGGCGGAUAGAGAUGGGCACGCGUAAGAUUAGCUAGUUGGUGAGGUAACGGCUCACCAAGGCUGCGAUCUUUAGGGGGCCUGAGAGGGUGAUCCCCCACACUGGUACUGAGACACGGACCAGACUCCUACGGGAGGCAGCAGUGAGGAAUAUUGGACAAUGGGUGAGAGCCUGAUCCAGCCAUCCCGCGUGAAGGACUAAGGACCUAUGGUUUGUAAACUUCUUUUAUACAGGGAUAAACCUACUCUCGUGA